rnacentral:rRNA from 1 species
UACGUAGGGUGCAAGCGUUAAUCGGAAUUACUGGGCGUAAAGCGUGCGCAGGCGGUGUUGUAAGUCCGAUGUGAAAUCCCCGGGCUCAACCUGGGAACGGCAUUUGUGACUGCAUCGCUGGAGUGCGGCAGAGGGGGAUGGAAUUCCGCGUGUAGCAGUGAAAUGCGUAGAUAUGCGGAGGAACACCGAUGGCGAAGGCAAUCCCCUGGGCCUGCACUGACGCUCAUGCACGAAAGCGUGGGGAGCAAACAGG